GCGUCGAUGGUGCAAGGGAUAGAACCUGCGCCUCAGAUUGAGUGAAACGCGGGUUCAAAUCCCGCCUGACGCA